AUUGAACGCUGGCGGCAUGCCUUACACAUGCAAGUCGAACGGCAGCGCGGGAGCAAUCCUGGCGGCGAGUGGCGAACGGGUGAGUAAUACAUCGGAACGUGCCCAAUCGUGGGGGAUAACGCAGCGAAAGCUGUGCUCAUACCGCAUACGAUCUACGGAUGAAAGCAGGGGAUCGCAAGACCCUGCGCGAUUGGAGCGGCCGAUGGCAGAGUAGGUAGUUGGUGAGGUAAAGGCUCACCAAGCCUUCGAUCUGUAGCUGGUCUGAGAGGACGACCAGCCACACUGGGACUGAGACACGGCCCAGACUCCUACGGGAGGCAGCAGUGGGGAAUUUUGGACAAUGGGCGAAAGCCUGAUCCAGCCAUGCCGCGUGCAGGAUGAAGGCCUUCGGGUUGUAAACUGCUUUUGUACGGAACGAAACGGUCUUUUCUAAUAAAGAAGGCUAAUGACGGUACCGUAAGAAUAAGCACCGGCUAACUACGUG
rnacentral:rRNA from 1 species